AUGUAUACAACACGUUGCAGCUACUGUUGGCGUGACUGCGGCUCGAGAAAUCAAUCCAGUUGUUAGUAGGGUAAUCGGUGAAGUGAAAAAAGAAAACUUCCCCGUAGACAUCAACAUUUCCUCGAAAAUGAUCAAAAUCAUAAAACAAAGUCGUCUAAUUCAACGUCAUCCCUUCUCAUUCUUCUCAUUCGGAGCCCAAGGCCAAAAGGGUACGGACACGGAGCUAAUGUUCGGCUACAUUGCAAAAAACAAGGAUGGAACGGAUCGUCGAUGCCACGUGGUGUUCAUCGAGGAUGUGCACAAGCUCAUCGACGUCCUUACCACUGCGAUCAAUGUGAACACUUUUGAUGCACAGGCGAAUGCUUCAACUUCUAACGAUGGAUUUACGGUGCCGGCGCCGCCGAUGAGACAUCGAAGUUCCCUGCAUCGACAGUCAUUUGUGUCGAAUUGCCGAGCACCUACUGUAACUGAGGAUGUUGUGGGGAAAGUUUGGUAUCAUGGAAAUUUAUCCAGAGAGGAUGCACAGGCUUUGUUGAAGACGGAAGGCGAUUUUUUGGUUCGACAAAGCGACCACACGCCCGGCAAGUACGUGCUGAGUGGCCGAACCGCUGAAAACGAGCACAAACAUCUCAUCCUACUGGACAAUCACAACAGAGUCCGAACCCGCGAUCGCACGUUCAGCAACAUCUCCGAGCUCAUCGACUAUCAUGUGAACAAUGGGAUGGCCGUAAGAUCAGAGGGUCGGGAUCGCGAGACGUCGUUGAAUCUGAUCCGACCUGUGCCGUGCCCCGGAAGUGAUGAUAUCGAAUAG
rnacentral:misc_RNA from 1 species